AAUUUCUUAUUAUUUACAUAAAGACACGUGACAGCUCGUUAUGUAAUAAUUAGCAAAUUGGAGAAAAAUGCAGCAUCGGUAAAAUUUGUAACUCGAAUGAUGCUAUUUAUAGUGAAAUCGUCACGAUGUGUUUUAUUGAAAGCAAAAGUUCAAGUAAACCAGCGGAGUAGUGUGCAGGAAUUGCCAAAUGUGCAAUCAGGAAUUGGGCGGUCCACUGUUCUAUUUAUUUGACCUUGAAGGAUUUUUGAUAAAAUAUCACCUGUCCUGUUGUUGCUUUGCGAUUUUAAAGGCGUAGUUUCUGUGUAACCGGCGUUUGUCAACGUGUUUUUAAAACAACACGUGGAUUGAUCGAAUACCUUUGGUUCAGGGCCAAAAAUAGUGCGCAAAAAACUAUUUCUUCAGAAAUUGCUUGUAAAGUAGUACUUUACGGACUGUUUUUGACACAAAUUCGUCCGUAAAGUAGUGCUUUUUUAUUAUUGUUAUGUCAUUGUCAUAGAAAUCGCUUCAAAAGUCCAUGAUUGAGUAAUGAUAUUACCUAUUUCCUUUUUGUCAGAAAUUUUAGCGUAAAACUCUAUAGGGACACCACAACACUAAAGUUACUUUUUAUUAUACUCGUGGUUAUUUCAUUGACUUGUAGAAUAGUCAUUCGUUUAAGAAAUUCACAAAAUAUUUUUUUCUUUUGAAGAUCGUUGAAUCGCUGAUUUUUUGUUUGAAUGAACAAAACUUUUUUUGCAUAUAAAAAAUAUUUAAUUUUUAUUUUUCCUGUCUUGGGUUUAGUGUUGCUACUUAGUAAAAAUACCCAAUUCCAGGUGAAAAGGUCGCCUGAUUUACACAAGGUAAAUAACAGAUAUAUUGUUUUAACAAAAAACUAAUGAUUUAAGUUAAAAAUGUACUUAAUGGUUUGAAAAAGGAUAAUAUAUUUGUUUUCAGUAAUUUUUCUUUUGAGUUUUACUGACGAAAUUUUACUCAAAAACUUGCUAAAACGAAUUAAAAACAAGCAAAAUAAAAAACCAAAUAUUUUAAAUUCGAACCAACUCAAUUGGCUUGUACUAGAGCGUUUUGAGACUUGUUAAAAACAAAAAAUGAAGGUAGUAAAAUUCAGAUAUUGUAAAAAACAACCUAGCAUGAUAAUGAAAAAAAAUUUUUUUUGUUUGUAGAACGCUCGAGGGUCAAAUAUCAUCAAAUAUGAGAAUUUUAAAAAAUGUCUGCAGUUUACUAAAUGAAGAGAAAAAGAAUUAAUUAGAGACUGGAUAGAAACAUUCUUCGGUAAAUUAAAUGUGUUGUUAAAAAUAAUUUGUUGUUAAAUAAAAAUCUUUUGUGUUGGUA